rnacentral:rRNA from 1 species
UACGUAGGGUGCAAGCGUUGUCCGGAAUUAUUGGGCGUAAAGAGCUCGUAGGCGGUUCGUCGCGUCGGCUGUGAAAACCCGAGGCUCAACCUCGGGCCUGCAGUCGAUACGGGCGGACUGGAGUUCGGCAGGGGAGACUGGAAUUCCUGGUGUAGCGGUGAAAUGCGCAGAUAUCAGGAGGAACACCGGUGGCGAAGGCGGGUCUCUGGGCCGAUACUGACGCUGAGGAGCGAAAGCGUGGGGAGCAAACAGG